GACAACCUCAGCUGGCAUCAUGGACCAUGAAGAAGCAAGACGAAAACACACAGGAGGGAAAAUCCUGGAAUUCUUUUUCUAGGGAUGUAAUACAUAUAUUUACAAAUAAAAUGCCUCAUGGACAAAAAAAAAAAAAAAAUACAUUCUUUGUGGGCUGGGGAGAUUUGUGCUCUGUACUGAAAUCUCUCAUGCUUAAGAUGGCUGACAUUUGGCGGCCCAUAAAGAUUGUUGCUGGUUGAUACAAUCCUCUUGACAGAGGCCAAGGUGGGCAGAUCAUCUGAGGUCAGGAGUUCGAGACCAGCCUGGCUGACAUAAUAAGGAUAAGAAAUCGGGCUUAUACAGAGAACUCAAAGGAAUAACCUCUACCUCCUCAUAUUCGAGCUAAAUAUAAAGAAAGUUUGAUUUUGUACAGAAAGAAGUAUCUUUAAAAGCCCAAUUUAGACUGCUCUCAAUGCAACUGAAAAAGUCACUCAACUGUAGAUACUCUUUAGCUAAAUUAAUAAUGCAAACAGAAAUCGCACAAUGAAGUAACAGAUUGAUGGAGGAUUGAUGGAGGUUCUGGCAGAAGUUUCAGGUCUCUGGGAUUUCUCUCCAUGCUCACAAACGUUUGCCCUGCUCACAAUGUCUGUCACAAUCCUCAGCAGAAACCAAAUCAGAGUUCAAAAGACUUGUUCUCAAAUAUUAGCCCCUUAUAGGCAUACAUAACCUAAUGACUGAAUUUUCAAGGAGAAACACAUCUAUUUUACUUUAUUUAUUUAUUUAUUUAUUUAUUUGAGACAAGGGCUUGCUCUGUCACCCAGGCUGGAGUGCAGUGGCAUGAUCACAACUCACUGCCCUUCAACCUCCCAGGCUUAAUCUAUCCUCCUACCUCAGCCUCGCAAAUAGCUGGGACUAGAGCACAUGCCACCACAUCCAGCUAAUUUUUUCUAUUUUUUUGUAGAGACAGGUUCUCAUCAUGUUGUCCAGGCCUGGAGAAUCACAUCUUUAAAUAAUGACAUUAUAUAUUCAGAAUACCUCUGCUAUUAAACAGAAAUGCUAACUGGGAAGGUAUAAUAAAGAGUAUCAUCAAUACCACAUUAGUUCUCACAUAGUAGUAGUUCAUGGUCCAUAACAGAAUGAGACAAAAAAUAUGGAAGAAUUAAUUUCAGUCAAGGGGGAAG
rnacentral:lncRNA from 10 species